rnacentral:lncRNA from 1 species
GCCCUGAGAGUCCAAGCCCCAAGAGUCCAUCAAGCUAAUUAGAGUUCAUGUAUAUAUGAAUUGUAAAUGUUCACAGUAAAAUUUUAAGCAGAACAGCAUGAAGCUUUUUAUUUAGGUUUGGAGAAUACAUUUUUGCAGUGUGUAUGUAUGCAUGUGUAAAUAUUUAUCUCCUUUUGAUUUUUGUAGAGUUGGAAAACCGCUGUAUUCUUGCAGCAUUUGCCUUUGAAAAGGCAGCAAGCAAACAAAUUCCAGGGGAGCUAUUUUUCGAAGUUGUGAAUGUAAGUCAAUUUUGUAUAUUUUAUAUGCCAUUUAGCUGAUUAGUGAUGUCAGAACUUAUUAACCCUUUAAGCUGCAGAGCUUCUCUAUUGACAAGCAAAAUCGUCUGGCAUUAGACAAGUAGACAAAAAUGUAGGGCAUGCUGGAGUGCUUUGCGGCUUAAUGGGUUAACUAUAGACAUUGUCAGAUUUUUUGGUUAAAAACCCAUUAAGUUAAGCUGCAGAGCUUCCCUAUUGACGAGUAAAAUCGUCUGGCAUUAGACAAGUUAAAGGGGAAGUCAAGUCCGUAAUGUAAACAAACGGUUUGUUUACAUUUUGAACUGCUGUAUUUUUUAAAAUAUGAUGUACUGUCUGAAUAUCUAACACCGUUUUGGUUCGCUAUACUUCUAAAUGAGUAUGAAAUAGAAUUUAUGUUCAGAAAAAUUCUAAAUUUGGGCAAUGUUCACAUUAGAGGUCCUCACAUUGUUAUGAGCAGAACCGAUGCGCAGAACGGACUUGACUUCCCCUUUAAAAAAAAACAAGUAGGGCGCGCUGGUUGUUGUGCAGUACAGUUGCAACAUGCAUGCACAUACAUAGGCUACCUGGAUAUAUUUGGUAGUGAUGUUAAGUUUCCUUGCAAGAUCCUUAAUGUUGCAUGCAUAUAGAAUAUAUUCUCAUUUUUUGUUUCCAGAGUGAUUUUGAAAUCCAGCAUACUGAGAGAAUAAAGGCGUGUUCAACACCGCUAUUGGCAACCGGAUCUCUACAAGAGAUAAGUUCACUUACCCUCAUUGCAGAGGGUAUAUGGUAUAGUUGCCAUAUUAAAAGGAAGUACUAUAAUCAGCACUAUUACAUGCUUAUUAGCAGCGUACCGUAAACCUCCGAAUAUAAGCCCCCCCCCCGAAUAUAAGCCCCUCCCGAAUAUAAGCCCCCCCCGUGUAUAAGCCCACCACAUGUAGUAACGCUCACCUCAUUCCAAAUAUAAGCCCCCCCCCCGAAUAUAAGCCCACUUGUUUAUCAGUUAUCACCAUUUAUUGUUUAUCACUAUUACCACUUACCACUAUUAUUCACUAUUAUUACUAUGCAUGCUAGUAUGCUUAACACUUGUUUAUCACUAUUACUAUACUUGUUUGUCACUAUUACACUAACACAAAAGAUCGUCCAUGUAUAAGCCCCCCCCCCUGUAUAUAAGCCCCUCCUUGUAUAAGCCCAUCAAAAAUCGCUUACGGAAAAAUAUAAGCCCAGGGCUUACAGUCGGAGGUUUACGGUAUUUUGUUCUUAAUGCUGAAUACCUCAAUGGCCUUGGCAAUGUUCCUCGAGCAUAUUCGGCUGGGAAGGAUUGGUCAAACUCUGCUAAUCGGUGAACUAUAGAACACAAGCUAGAACUAAGAUUAUAUGGCGAUCGAUUGUUGUAACAUAUUAUAAUAAUGAGAGAUUGAGAAUGCACAAACAGGCCGGGGUUGCAUGGUGAUCGCGAUCUAAUUAAUGCUAAGUUAAGUGCUUAGCCAUGAUUUCAUGAUAAUAUAUAAUACUUGAUAAAACCAUGCAACUCUCUAGCCUGUGUGUCAGUAACAGUGUAGUCAACUGGAACACAGGCUAUAGAAACAC